UAGGGAAUCUUCCGCAAUGGACGCAAGUCUGACGGAGCAACGCCGCGUGAGUGAAGAAGGAUUUCGGUUCGUAAAACUCUGUUGUUAGAGAAGAACAGCGCAUAGAGUAACUGUUAUGCGUGUGACGGUAUCUAACCAGAAAGCCACGGCUAACUACGUGCCAGCAGCCGCGGUAAUACGUAGGUGGCAAGCGUUGUCCGGUUUUAUUGGGCGUAAAGCGAGCGCAGGCGGUCAAUUAAGUCUGAUGUGAAAGCCCCCGGCUCAACCGGGGAGGGUCAUUGGAAACUGGUUGACUUGAGUGCAGAAGAGGAGAGUGGAAUUCCAUGUGUAGCGGUGAAAUGCGUAGAUAUAUGGAGGAACACCAGUGGCGAAGGCGACUCUCUGGUCUGUAACUGACGCUGAGGCUCGAAAGCGUGGGUAGCAAACAGG
rnacentral:rRNA from 1 species